UUAAGCGACUAAGCGUACACGGUGGAUGCCCUGGCAGUCAGAGGCGAUGAAGGACGUGCUAAUCUGCGAAAAGCGUCGGUAAGGUGAUAUGAACCGUUAUAGCCGGCGAUGUCCGAAUGGGGAAACCCAGUGCAAUUCGUUGCACUAUCGUUAACUGAAUACAUAGGUUAACGAGGCGAACCGGGGGAACUGAAACAUCUAAGUACCCCGAGGAAAAGAAAUCAACCGAGAUUCCCCCAGUAGCGGCGAGCGAACGGGGAGCAGCCCAGAGUCUGAAUCAGCUUGUGUGUUAGUGGAACGGUCUGGAAAGUCCGACGGUACAGGGUGAUAGUCCCGUACACCAAAAUGCACAGGCUGUGAACUCGAAGAGUAGGGCGGGACACGUGGUAUCCUGUCUGAAUAUGGGGGGACCAUCCUCCAAGGCUAAAUACUCCUGACUGACCGAUAGUGAACCAGUACCGUGAGGGAAAGGCGAAAAGAACCCCGGCGAGGGGAGUGAAAAAGAACCUGAAACCGUGUACGUACAAGCAGUGGGAGCACCUUCGGGUGUGACUGCGUACCUUUUGUAUAAUGGGUCAGCGACUUAUAUUCUGUAGCAAGGUUAACCGUAUAGGGGAGCCGCAGGGAAACCGAGUCUUAACUGGGCGUUAAGUUGCAGGGUAUAGACCCGAAACCCGGUGAUCUAGCCAUGGGCAGGUUGAAGGUUGGGUAACACUAACUGGAGGACCGAACCGACUAAUGUUGAAAAAUUAGCGGAUGACUUGUGGCUGGGGGUGAAAGGCCAAUCAAACCGGGAGAUAGCUGGUUCUCCCCGAAAGCUAUUUAGGUAGCGCCUCGUGAACUCAUCUUCGGGGGUAGAGCACUGUUUCGGCUAGGGGGUCAUCCCGACUUACCAACCCGAUGCAAACUACGAAUACCGAAGAAUGUUAUCACGGGAGACACACGGCGGGUGCUAACGUCCGUCGUGAAGAGGGAAACAACCCAGACCGCCAGCUAAGGUCCCAAAGUCAUGGUUAAGUGGGAAACGAUGUGGGAAGGCACAGACAGCCAGGAUGUUGGCUUAGAAGCAGCCAUCAUUUAAAGAAAGCGUAAUAGCUCACUGGUCGAGUCGGCCUGCGCGGAAGAUGUAACGGGGCUAAACCAUGCACCGAAGCUGCGGCAGCGACACUAUGUGUUGUUGGGUAGGGGAGCGUUCUGUAAGCCUGCGAAGGUGUGCUGUGAGGCAUGCUGGAGGUAUCAGAAGUGCGAAUGCUGACAUAAGUAACGAUAAAGCGGGUGAAAAGCCCGCUCGCCGGAAGACCAAGGGUUCCUGUCCAACGUUAAUCGGGGCAGGGUGAGUCGACCCCUAAGGCGAGGCCGAAAGGCGUAGUCGAUGGGAAACAGGUUAAUAUUCCUGUACUUGGUGUUACUGCGAAGGGGGGACGGAGAAGGCUAUGUUAGCCGGGCGACGGUUGUCCCGGUUUAAGCAUGUAGGCUGGUUGUCCAGGCAAAUCCGGAUAAUCAAGGCUGAGGUGUGAUGACGAGGCACUACGGUGCUAAAGUAACAAAUGCCCUGCUUCCAGGAAAAGCCUCUAAGCAUCAGGUAACAUCAAAUCGUACCCCAAACCGACACAGGUGGUCAGGUAGAGAAUACCAAGGCGCUUGAGAGAACUCGGGUGAAGGAACUAGGCAAAAUGGUGCCGUAACUUCGGGAGAAGGCACGCUGGUGUGUAGGUGAAGUCCCUGCGGAUGGAGCUGAGACCAGUCGAAGAUACCAGCUGGCUGCAACUGUUUAUUAAAAACACAGCACUGUGCAAACACGAAAGUGGACGUAUACGGUGUGACGCCUGCCCGGUGCCGGAAGGUUAAUUGAUGGGGUUAUCCGUAAGGAGAAGCUCUUGAUCGAAGCCCCGGUAAACGGCGGCCGUAACUAUAACGGUCCUAAGGUAGCGAAAUUCCUUGUCGGGUAAGUUCCGACCUGCACGAAUGGCGUAAUGAUGGCCAGGCUGUCUCCACCCGAGACUCAGUGAAAUUGAACUCGCUGUGAAGAUGCAGUGUACCCGCGGCAAGACGGAAAGACCCCGUGAACCUUUACUAUAGCUUGACACUGAACAUUGAGCCUUGAUGUGUAGGAUAGGUGGGAGGCUUUGAAGCGUGGACGCCAGUCUGCGUGGAGCCAACCUUGAAAUACCACCCUUUAAUGUUUGAUGUUCUAACGUUGGCCCCUUACCGGGGUUGCGGACAGUGUCUGGUGGGUAGUUUGACUGGGGCGGUCUCCUCCCAAAGCGUAACGGAGGAGCACGAAGGUUAGCUAAUCCUGGUCGGACAUCAGGAGGUUAGUGCAAUGGCAUAAGCUAGCUUGACUGCGAGCGUGACGGCGCGAGCAGGUGCGAAAGCAGGUCAUAGUGAUCCGGUGGUUCUGAAUGGAAGGGCCAUCGCUCAACGGAUAAAAGGUACUCCGGGGAUAACAGGCUGAUACCGCCCAAGAGUUCAUAUCGACGGCGGUGUUUGGCACCUCGAUGUCGGCUCAUCACAUCCUGGGGCUGAAGUAGGUCCCAAGGGUAUGGCUGUUCGCCAUUUAAAGUGGUACGCGAGCUGGGUUUAGAACGUCGUGAGACAGUUCGGUCCCUAUCUGCCGUGGGCGCUGGAGAAUUGAGGGGGGCUGCUCCUAGUACGAGAGGACCGGAGUGGACGCAUCACUGGUGUUCGGGUUGUCAUGCCAAUGGCACUGCCCGGUAGCUAAAUGCGGAAGAGAUAAGUGCUGAAAGCAUCUAAGCACGAAACUUGCCCCGAGAUGAGUUCUCCCUGAGACUUUAAGUCUCCUGAAGGAACGUUGAAGACGACGACGUUGAUAGGCCGGGUGUGUAAGCGCAGCGAUGCGUUGAGCUAACCGGUACUAAUGAACCGUGAGGCUUAACCUU
rnacentral:rRNA from 1 species